AUCAAUCCCAUCACAUGGCAUGCCUUAGAGAAGCUUGUGUUAACAUUUCAAGCAUCUACAAUAAGUAGUUGCUGACAAAACUGUGACAAGAAUUUGUUAUGUGUGAAACAUGUAUGAAAAGGACAGAUGCACAGAGGAACAGGAAGUUGACAUCCGAUUUGAACAGAAAUUAAUCCCACCAUAUGGCAUGCCUACGCGGAGAAUGUUCUAAAAUUUCAAGAAUCUGCAAUGAGUAGUUGCUGAGAAAACUGCGACGAAAAUUUGUUAUGUAUGAAACGGACAGACGCACAGAUAAACAGGAAGUUGAAAUUGGAUUUGA